rnacentral:rRNA from 1 species
UACGGAGGAUGCGAGCGUUAUCCGGAUUUAUUGGGUUUAAAGGGUGCGUAGGCGGGUCGGCAAGUCAGCGGUGAAAUGUCGGGGCUCAACUUCGGAAUUGCCGUUGAUACUGCUGGUCUUGAAUACGGUCGAGGCAGGCGGAAUGUGUAAUGUAGCGGUGAAAUGCUUAGAUAUUACACAGAACACCUAUUGCGAAGGCAGCUUGCUAGGCCGGGAUUGACGCUGAGGCACGAAAGCGUGGGGAUCGAAC